AAAAGGAGAGGAAAGGGAGGAGAGAAUUGAGAGAAAUAAUUUUUUUCUUCUGGUACAUUACGGAAAAUUUCAACUCGUGUCAUUCUUUCUUUUGAAAAAAUCCAGCCAUUCACCAUCCCAAAAUACAACAAAAAUACUUCACAUCCCUUUUUACACGCCAAAUGGUGGAGUCAAUAGUCGAGGUGAGGUUUCGUUGGAGCUCUGUUCACUAGCUUUGAUGUUCUUCUUUACUUAUGUUUGUUCGGCGUUCGUAUGAGUUAUUGUACCUGUUCAGGAGACUCAUUUAAUUGAAAAUUUUGCAUUAAAGGUCUAUUCCUUCUUCUGUUCUUUUUAUCUUAUUUCAUGUGACUAAACUUUUAUGCCUUUAAACUUUUUAUAAAUAAUAAUGUAAAUUAGUCAUUAAAUUCUACAUGCUAAAUCAUGUUUAUGAAAAUAUGGUAUUCAAAUAAAAGGUGACUUAAAACACUCAAAAAUCAAAUUUCAAGUAGCGACUCCGAAUAAUAAAUAACCCAACUUCAAAAUAUCAUUUUACUUGAAAAAACUCUUUAACCCACAAUUCAUAAUAGCACACAUAUAUUUUUUGGGAUAAAAAGGGGUGUGAUAGAUCAGCCAUGAACACCUAAUUUUUGACCAUAUUUAAUCUUUGUCACCUUCUUCUAUGUAAAUAUCUUUAGGGUUUUAAUCUAAAAAUUUAUACUUUUAAUUAUAGGAUAAAAAUACAAAAAUUUAAAAGGUCAAUUAUUACUAUUAAUAUUAUUUUUAUGUAUAUAUUUAUUUCUAAAUAAUAAAAUAAAAUCAAAAAAUUAAAUUUCAGGUGGGAUUAAAAUAAUAGGAAAAGGGGAAGUAUGGAGUUAAAAAAAUAAAAGUAAAAGUAGGUGGAAUUCUCUUUAAAAAGUAAAAGAAAGUGGAAAAUUAAACAAAAAACGUAAAGAAAUGUGGAAAUUUAAAAAUGAAAAGGAAAGAAAGUUGGAAUUAAAAAAUAAAAGUAAAGACAGCUGAUUUUUUUUAAAAUGUAAAAUAAAGUAGAAUUUUAAAAUAAAAGUAAAACAAAGUGGAUUUUUUCUUAAAGAAAAGUAAAAUAAGUGGAAAAUAAAAAAAAGAAAAAUUAAAAAAAAUGGGGUUUAAAUAAAAUAAAAGUAACUAAAGUUGGAAUUAAAAAAUAAAAGUAAAGAAAGGUGGGAAUUUAUUUAUUUAAAAAAAAGAAAAUGGGAAAUGGAAUUUCUUUUAGUUUAAAAAUAAUAAAUUAAUAAAAUAAUUUUUUAAAAUCUGAAAAAUGUCUAAAUUUUUUGCUAUAUAUAGAAGAGAAAAAUUAAUAAGAAGAAGAAAAAAAUAAUAAAAUAGAGAAAAGGGAGGAGAGAAUUGAGAGGAACAAAUUUCUUCUUCUACUCUACGAAGAAUUUCUACUCGUUUCUUUCAAAAAAAUCCAACAUUCACCACCCCAAAACCUAACAAAAAUACUUCCGAACAUCCCUUUUUACAUACCAAAUAGUGGAAUCAAUAGUCGAGGUCAAGGGAUGGUUGGCAUGUAAAAAAUGAUGUUUGAAGUAUUUUUGUUGGAUUUUGGGAUGGUGAUUGCUGGAUUUUUCAAAAGAAAGAGGAAGAAAAAAUAACACGAGUAGAAAUUGUUUAGAGUAGAAGAAGAAAAAAAUUUUGUUUCUCUCAAUUCUCUCCUUUUUUCUCCUCAUCUUCUUAAAUUCUCUCUUUUAUUUAUAGGGAAACAAAUCGAAAAUUUUCAGAUUUUUUUUAAAAAUUAUUUUAUUAUUUAUUUUUAAUUUAAAAAAUGUCACUUCCCAUUUUUCUUUUUUUUUUUGAAACUAAAUAAAUCCCCAUCUUUCUUUACUUUUAUUUUUUUAAUUCCAACUUUAAUUACUUUUAUUUUAUUUAAACCCCACUUUUCUUACUAUUUUUUAAUUUCCACUUAUUUUACUUUUCUUUGAAAACAAUCCACUUUCUUUUACUUUUUGUUUUUUAAUUUUCAGCUACAUUUACUUUUAUUUUUUAAUUUUAACUUUCUUUUACUUUUCAUUUAAAAAUUAAAAGUAAAAGAAAGUUGGAAUUAAAAAAUAAAAUUAAAGGUAGCUAAAAUUAAAAAAAACAGAAAGAAAUUUGGAAUCGACUCCUAAGCUGGUUGGGCUAUAAACAUUCCAUUUCUGACUGGAAGGAGGAACGUGAGUGGGUUAGUAAGCUGGCAAGAAGUAGAACUGGAGUAGCAGAAAUCACUUGUCUAUCUAUUUAGGAUCCUGGUGACAGUGAUAUGGAGAGAGCGUAAUAAAAUGAGAUUCCAGGGAGAAAAUUUGCUGAGCGAUAAUGUUUGUAAGGAAAUAGUAGUCUAUCUCCACUCAAGAGGGGCUUCAACUCAUAAAUGGAGGGCAGUUCUACAAAGUUUAAACCAUUACUCCUAGGCUACUCUUGGGACAAAAUUGUCACAUUUAUUAUCAAAUAGUGAUAUUGUAAUUCUUUUUUAGAGUGAUAAUAGGUGUAGUGACUGUAUAGUAUAUUAGAAUAGAUUGUCAGCAUCUAUAUUUGUACUUGUAUAUUUUUUUGACGGAAUCGAAUAGAAACUAUAUUUAUUCAAAAAAUAAAUAACAUGAAAGUUAAUUUACCGCAGCCAUCUACCACUUUUGUGUGAGGCAGAAGAAAGUGAACGAAUCUGUUUAUUAAAAAAAAUUAAUUAAAGUUGGAAUUUAAAAUAAAAUUAAUGAAAGGUGGGGAUUUAUUUAUUUUAAAAAAACAAAAAUGGAAAGUGGGAUUUCUUUUAAUUAAAAGAAGGAGGACGAAAGAACGACACGAGUAAAAAUUCUUCUAGAAUAGAAGAAGAAAAAAUUUGUUUCUCUCCAUUCUCUCCUCACUUUUCUCCCCUUUUUCUCCUCUUCUUCUUAAAUUCUAUCUUCUAUUUAUAGAAAAAAAUUCAAAAUUUUUCAGUUUUUAAAAAUUAUUUAUUAUUUUAAUUAAAAGAAAUCCCACUUCCCAUUUUCCUUUUUUUAUUAAAAACUAAAAUAAAUCCCCACUUUUCUUUACUUUUAUUUUUUAAAUUCCAACUUUAACUACUUUUAUUUUAUUUAAACCCCACAUUUUUAUUUUCCUCUUACUUUACUUUUCUUUUAAAAAAAAUCCACUUUCUUUUACUUUUUGUUUUUUAAUUUUCAGAUACCUUUACUUUUAUUGUUUAAUUCCAACUUUCUUUCACUUUUCAUUUUUAAAUUUCCACAUUACUUUACAUUUAUUUUUGAAGUCCAACACUUUCUUUUACUUUCUUAAAGAGAAUUCACCUACUUUUACUUAUAUUUUUUUAACUGCGUAAGUCUUUUCCUAUUAUUUUAAUCCCACCAGAAAUUAAUUUUUUUUUAAUUUUUCGGAUUUUACUUUAUAAUUUUAAAAUAAAUAUAAAAAAUUAAUUUUAAUAUUUUUUUUUGGUAAUUAAAGUUUUUUCAUUAAUCACCAAUGAAGUUGCAUUACAAACCACGGUCAAGCUUCAACUCGGCUGACUGUCUGAGAGCUAACAUAAUAACUACAGUUACUGUCCUAACUAUCUAACUUCUACUAUAUUUAAGGUGUUGCAAUUGUUGUCUAAUUCUUGGGGUGCCUCUAACAUUACAGUUAUACACUAUGUCUCUCAGUAGAGUAGUAUUACAUCGAAAAGUCUUGUUGAAUACUCUUGCAUUCCUUUCCAUCCAGAUAGCAUAUGCAACUUCAGCUGUGACCAUUUUGAAAAUGGCUGCAUGACAUGUUCGUCCCUUGGCUUUGGUAAUCAACCAUUGUACUUUCUGGUUCCAACUGUCUGUGACCAUUUUAAAAAUGGUUGCACGACCUGUUCGUCCCUUGGCUUUGGUAAUCAACCGUUGUACUUUCUGGUUCCAACUGAUACUAGGUAGGUACUGUUUCUGUAGCCAAUUUAUUACUCUUCCCCAUAGAUCCACAGUGACAGGGCAUUCCGUGAGCAGAUGAUCUCUUGUUUCAN
rnacentral:lncRNA from 1 species